rnacentral:rRNA from 1 species
AUUGAACGCUGGCGGCAUGCCUUACACAUGCAAGUCGAACGGCAGCACGGGUGCUUGCACCUGGUGGCGAGUGGCGAACGGGUGAGUAAUACAUCGGAACGUACCUUAUCGUGGGGGAUAACGCAGCGAAAGUUGCGCUAAUACCGCAUACGCCCUGAGGGGGAAAGCGGGGGACCGUAAGGCCUCGCGCGAUUAGAGCGGCCGAGGUCGGAUUAGCUUGUUGGUGGGGUAAAAGCUCACCAAGGCGAUGAUCAGUAGCUGGUCUGAGAGGACGAUCAGCCACACUGGGACUGAGACACGGCCCAGACUCCUACGGGAGGCAGCAGUGGGGAAUUUUGGACAAUGGGGGCAACCCUGAUCCAGCAAUGCCGCGUGAGUGAAGAAGGCCUUCGGGUUGUAAAGCUCUUUUGUCAGGGAAGAAACAGCAGCUCUAACACAGUCUGCGAAUGACGGUACCUGAAGAAUAAGCACCGGCUAACUACGUGCCAGCCGCCGCAGUAA